rnacentral:rRNA from 1 species
CCUACGGGGGGCUGCAGUGGGGAAUAUUGGACAAUGGGGGGAACCCUGAUCCAGCCAUGCCGCGUGUGUGAAGAAGGCCCUCGGGUUGUAAAGCACUUUCAGUGAGGAAGAACGCCUGGUGGUUAAUACCCAUCAGGAAAGACAUCACUCACAGAAGAAGCACCGGCUAACUCCGUGCCAGCAGCCGCGGUAAUACGGAGGGUGCGAGCGUUAAUCGGAAUUACUGGGCGUAAAGCGCGCGUAGGUGGCUUGAUAAGCCGGUUGUGAAAGCCCCGGGCUCAACCUGGGAACGGCAUCCGGAACUGUCAAGCUAGAGUGCAGGAGAGGAAGGUAGAAUUCCCGGUGUAGCGGUGAAAUGCGUAGAGAUCGGGAGGGAUACCAGUGGCGAAGGCGGCCUUCUGGACUGACACUGACACUGAGGUGCGAAAGCGUGGGUAGCAAACAGGAUUAGAUACCCCUGUAGUC